rnacentral:misc_RNA from 1 species
CUCCUUUCGACCAUCAUAAUCGCACUCGAUGAUAGCCUUGAAAUUUCUCCAUGUUCAAUUUUGAGUAGAAUAGCAGCUCUUUGUUUUCCUUUGGUGCUUCUUUUCAUUUGGGUAUGGAGCACCUCCCUGUUGAAGUGAUAGGAAACAUACUAUCUCGGCUUAAGGCUGCCCGAGAUGUUGUCAUUGCAUCCACCACUUGCAAGAAAUGGCGUGAAGCUUGGCGUACCCACCUCCACACU